UCUGGAAAAAAAACUUUAUAAUUUUGAACAAAUUAAUAAAAUUGGGUUGUAAAACAAGUCUGCAGCGUUUUUCAAUUUGAUUUUUAUCUCUCUUGGGUUUGAAAUCUAUUUUUACAAGGUGUUAUGCUAAUCCAGUCAAGGAAAACAGCGAGUGUUUGUCAUUUAAUGAUUGUUAUUACUGCAAAGUGAAAACCGCAGCUGACUGCUUGAAAAAUUUGUGAUGGUAAAUUUAAGAGAAAACAUCAUCUGAAUGUGGUUUAUCAGCUCAGAAGCGGAGAUUUGAUUUGGUAGCUGCAAUUCAAGUUGUCCUUCAACUAUUGAAGCACAAAUUUAAGUUUGUUCAUUUAAGUAGCACACCAACACCAAACAUUGUAAACACAUUUAAAUAUCUCAUACAAGUGUUUAAAUGCAUCUUAGAGCAGCUAUGAGAAUAUGUUUGUCAGAUUGAUAUAUGAGUUCCUCACAUGCUGAAUAAGAAGAAUUGAUUGGUAUGCAUUUUUUUUGUGAUCCCUCCCAAAACGCAAUGUAAACCCAUUUUUAAAAAGAUUGAUAACUGGAUAUGAACAGGGUCUUUAAUAACAAUGUUCAGAGAGGAAUAUCCUGGGGAAAAUGCAAUGAUGAUCAUCAGUAAUUCCAAAAGCUGGAAUCUCAAAAAGGAAAUGCUGUGCUUUUGGUGGGUUUGAAAAGGGGUGCAUUAUUAUGAGCUUUUCUCACCCAACUAAGCAAUUAAUUCUAGUGUAUACUACACACAAUUGAAGCGAUUAAAGUCAGCAAUUGACCAAAAGCACUCGAUAUUGGCUGAUCAUUUUCCACCAUGUUCUCACUUGCCACCACGUGUUUGCAGCUA